rnacentral:lncRNA from 1 species
CAUUUUUUGUCAAUUAAACACCGAAAAGAUGGAAUUGCAAUUCCAUUUUCGAAUUUCCUACCUAUCAACCAAGUUAGAUUUUUUCCCCACGUUCAGUUUCUUCUUCUUCCUGCUCUGUCCACCAUACGGCUGUUCUCUCCCAAAUCACCACCCUUCAAUCAGCCAUCAACUGCUCAAUUACCACCCUUCAAUCAGCCCAUAAACCUAACGACCGAAGUGAGCACAGGGAUAGCUUUUAGGUAUCGUUUAUUGACUUUUGUUUGUUGGGUUGCUAUCAAUUUGCAGGGAAAUAAUGUGAAAUGUAAAUUGGGUUAUUGGAUUGUUAAAAUUUCGAUUAUUGGGUUGCUAUCAAUUUGUUUACUGGGUUGUAGGGGAAUAUCAUAGAUCAAAAGAAACUCAACAAUUUUCAGUAAAACUAGGGUUCAAAUUCGAUUGAAAUUUUAUGGUUUCAAAAUUAUCAUCAUGUUUCGUUUCCGUAGCUUCUGAUUGUGCUUUAACCAAAUUAUGAGAUAGAAGUAUCGAUAGACUACUUUACCUUUUUCUUUUUCUUUUUUUGGCCUCUUUAUUUUUGUGGGAACCGAGAGACCCAAUGUGCACUGAAACAUUUAUCAAAAUGUAAAGCAAUUGCACUGAAAACAAAAACAUUUUGUUUCACUGGUUUGGUCUGAAUUCAAGUUUUCUACACAGUGAGCUUGUGUAAGAUUGUUCUUGGCAGCCUGAUUGAUCAUUUGCCUUGGUGGUGAUAGCUCUUUAAACACUAUGUUCAAUUCUCUUUGUGGUGCUUUCCGUUUGAUCUGAAGCCAAGAAAUUAUCAUUGAGUGUUUCAUAACAUGUCUUCUCAUGUGUAAAUGAAAUAUCAUACGGGUUGUGUAGUAUGUUUCUCUUUGAUCACUUUCGAUAUAUAUCAUAGAGUGUAGCUCGCAAUUUGUUUUCAAGGAAGUUUUAUAUUCAAAUACUUUAAUUCUGUUAAUAUCUUUUCAGUUAGCUGAUGCAAAGGACAAAAUCUCUUCAAUCCUUCUGAUUGCGGUUCUAGAUGUCCUGUUUUGACACCGAAUAUUAAAGUAAGUUGCUUUCAAAGAUAACAACAUUUAAAGUACGGUAUUGCAACUUCUUGAGGAGAUUUUUGAAAUCCUUUAGAACUGGCCUUAUUCAACACAAUGCCUUCAAAUCUUAAAGCUAGUUUUCGCCAAAACAUAAAUUCUGUUUGGAUCUAUGAGGAUAAGGAAGCAUUUUUCUCCGACUUAUUUUUCAGAUCUACAAUAAAUACAAUCACUGUCAAAUGGAAAUCAGACCUCAGCAGCCUAUUGGCCAAAAUAUGGUGAGGAUCUGCACUGAUGAAAUCAGAUUGGUACUAUGUAAAAUUUGUUGAAACAGCACUGGCUUUUCAAUCUGGCAAUUAAAUUGCGUAAUUAAAAGUAGCACCAAGAAGCCACCCUAUGCAUUCUCAAUAAACGAUAUCAGGUGUGGGGGGGGGGGGGGGGAAGAAAACAACUCUAAUCUUGUUUCAUCAAUUCUAAGGAGAGAGAAACUCACGUCUGUUUGCUUUUAUAGAUGCCUCUAGUUUUAAAUUUUACAAUUUCCUUCUUUAAUGGCAAUACAAGAAUGCUGCCUGUGAGGAUGCAUGUAUGCUGCUCUGCUCCCUAUGUUAAUUUCAAUUUGAUUUUAUAUUUAUUUUCAGGAAUGCCAAAAUUAUAUUUCAACAAGAAGAUAUCAAGUUUGUGCAGCCAUCUUCUUCUUCUUCUUCUUCUUCUUAUCUAGGUAAGUGGGAGAGGAUGGAGAUGCUGCCAAACAACCCUCGUCGGCUAUUCAUUAUGUGAUCAUCAGUUGGAUAAAAGGAAGCUUAAAAGCACGACGAGCACUGUUCGCGUACUCUCUCCGAGUGCGAAGCAAGUAGAAGCUUUUGUUGCGUCCAAGAAUGAAAUCUUGAGCCCAUCUUCAACUCGACAAAUAUCAUCUAUCUUGAGUUCCUUAGAUGUGGACUCGAAAUGAUUAGAGAAAAUUGAUAACGAUGAUGAGAAGAAAGCAGUGAUGUCUGCAAAGAAGAUGACAAAAAUUGGACCUCAUGGUGAGAGCUAGAUCAAUAAGCAGCCUGCUUGGCCAGAUUGAUAGUACGGCAAUUGAGUAUUAUUUCGUGCAGAAGAAAGUUGAAUCGUUAUGAUAUGUUGUUGCAUUGAAUUUGGAAUGUAUAUAUAUGGCCACAGUAUAACAGAUGUAUGUGGUAUUGAACAAGUUGAAUUGCGAUAUAUUGUUGCUCUUUCAUUCGUGCAUUUAACUCUGGCUAUAAAAAAGACUUGUUUAUUGAAAUAAUGGAAA